UCCGGCUUAUCACCGGCAGUUUCUUUAGAGUGCCCAACUAAAUGAUGGCAACUAGGGGCGAGGGUUGCGCUCGUUGCGGGACUUAACCCAACAUCUCACGACACGAGCUGACGACAGCCAUGCAGCACCUGUGCCGGCUCCUCUUGCGAGGUCGGUCCCCUUUCGGUUCCCUACCACCGACAUGUCAAACCCAGGUAAGGUUUUUCGCGUUGCGUCGAAUUGAACCACAUGCUCCACCGCUUGUGCGGAUCCCCGUCAAUUCCUUUGAGUUUUAGCCUUGCGGCCGUACUCCCCAGGCGGGGCACUUAAUGCGUUAGCUACGGCACGGAACCCGUUGAUAAGGCCCCACACCUAGUGCCCAACGUUUACGGCGUGGACUAC
rnacentral:misc_RNA from 1 species